rnacentral:tRNA from 1 species
GAGCCAUUAGCUCAGUUGGUUCAGCAUCUGACUUUUAAUCAGAGGGUCGAAGGUUCGAGUCCUUCAUGGCUCA